UCACCGGCUGCCGAUGAUGGAUUAUGUUUAAGCUGAAGCAAAAUGAUUUUGACUGAACAUUUCGUCACUACCACUGAGGCGGCCGUUCC